rnacentral:lncRNA from 1 species
UGGAUCCUUCACUUGUAUGUUGAAGCUCUCCUCACAUGGUGGAUUGUGGUUUAGGUUGAGUUUUCUCCCUUAGAUAACAAAAGACCUUAAGGCUUUUGAACCAAUCAAUUCACCAACUUUUUUUGAGAUUUUUACCCCGAACUACGAGGUUUUGAUCCUACUUUUGUGAUGGUACGUAGGCAAUGGGUUUAUCCAUUCAAACAACAAAAUUGUAAAUAA